rnacentral:tRNA from 1 species
GGGGAUGUAACUCAGUUGGUAGAGUGCUUGCCUCACAUGUACAAGGCCCUGGGUUCAAUCCCCAGCACCACAA